UACGGGGGGGGCAAGCGUUGUUCGGAAUUACUGGGCGUAAAGGGCUCGUAGGUGGCCAACUAAGUCAGACGUGAAAUCCCCAGGCUUAACCUGGGAACUGCGUCUGAUACUGGAUGGCUUGAAUUCGGGAGAGGGAUGCAGAAUUCCAGGUGUAGCGGUGAAAUGCGCAGAUAUCAGGAGGAACACCAAUGGCGAAGGCAGCUCGCUGGGACGGUACUGACGCUGAGACGCGAAAGCGUGGGGAGCAAACAGG
rnacentral:rRNA from 1 species